AGGAAUAAGUUUUAGGGCUUUCGGUCCAGAAGUCCAAUUUUUAUUUUCUUCAGUCUAAAAGUCUAUACUCUAAAUUACUAUGUCCAUAAGGACACGCUCUUGAAAAAAAUACCAAAUUACCCAUAUAUAGAUCAUGCGUGUUGUUCCUCUCAAUAAUGAAACCCUCUCUCUCUCUCUCUCUCUCUCUCUAAAUCACUUCUCUCUCCCUCUAUCUAUUUCGUUCUUGAAACCCAGAUAAAUGAGCGAAGAAGGAGGGAUGAGCAAAGGUUUUGCCGCCAGAGUCGCAGCUGUCGGCACCGGCGCAUCAACGCGAAUGACAGCGUCAUCACCGUCGACGAGCUCAAGCAAGAGUGUGUAAGGCAUCAAGAGAAACCGAGAGAAAAUGGCGAUGAUUAGGUCAUUUUACCACUCGAUCUACUUCAGAUCUCUCUCUUCUUCUUCCUCCACCGCACCAUAUCCACACUCGCAACAACAUUGUACAAUGAAGAUGAAAAUGAUGAGAAGAAGAUUAGAGUGGUGAUGAAGCAUAGUGUCAAGAUCUUGGAAGAGGUCUGUCAGAUUUGUUGUUGUCCGUCAGAUCUGAGAUCCUGCACCUCCUUCUACCAUAGAGAUCGAUGGCUUUGGCUGAGAUCCGGCAGAUCGAGAGGGUUAUGGUUUCGCACUCCCCCCCUCCUCCUCCCUCUUCCUCCCUCCCCCCCCCUCUCUCUCUCUCUCUCACACACACACACACUCAUCGUCUUUCUCUCUCUCGGGUUAGGGUUUUGAUUUGCAAACAGAUUGUCACCACAGUCCAACAUCAACCACAACUCCGAAUGAAAUCGCGAUCAUCAUCAACCACAACGGUGAUCGUUUGGAUGAUUUGAGGCGGCGAUAAUGGCGGUGGUUCCAUCGCCUUUGGUUUUCUAGGGUUUGACAUCAACUGAAUGAGAGAAACUAGUCUCAAAACCAAAUCAAUAAUAUAGAUAGAGAUAUAUAAGUA